rnacentral:lncRNA from 1 species
ACAUAUCCUAUUACUCUGUGUUAAUGAAGACUAAAUUAUAUUAAUUUGUGCUGCUUGCAGUUGCUUAAGAAAGAAUUUAUGAAUGUAAAGCAGAAGCCUGUCUCUCUGAGCCUCACAAUGUGUUAGCUUUGCUACCUUCAACAGGAAAAAGACUGUGUGGUUUGCUGUGGAAUUUUGGAGAAUCGGAAGCUAAAUGGAGCCUAAAAUUCAUUACACCAAAACGGAGGUUAGACAGCAGGUGGAACUACUGAGAGUGGUGAUGAGAAACGUCUGAUAUCAGUUCUCUCAGAGGAUGCUUGUUUGAACAGAGGUACUUAUCAACAUUGGUAAGAACAGACUUUUUUUUUUUUUUAAUUUCUUUUCAAUUUGUUUCCUAUGUUUCUCGAUUUUU